UACGAAGGGGGCUAGCGUUGCUCGGAAUCACUGGGCGUAAAGGGUGCGUAGGCGGGUCUUUAAGUCAGGGGGGAAAUCCUGGAGCUCAACUCCAGAACUGCCUUUGAUACUGAAGAUCUUGAGUUCGGGAGAGGUGAGUGGAACUGCGAGUGUAGAGGUGAAAUUCGUAGAUAUUCGCAAGAACACCAGUGGCGAAGGCGGCUUACUGGUCCAUUACUGACGCUGAGGUGCGAAAGCGUGGGGAGCAAACAGG
rnacentral:rRNA from 1 species